rnacentral:rRNA from 2 species
GAAUAGAAACAGAUGCCAGGCCAAUAACUCAAA